AUACAGGGUGAGGAACAAAUUGCUCAGGCAGCUUGUGAUUAUUAUCAGCACCAAUUUACUGGACAGAAUGACAGAAUAGAUGAAAGAAUCCUUCAAUAUAUUCCUACAAUUAUUACUCCUGAUCAGAAUGAGAUGCUGCAAGCAAUACCUAAUAUAGAUGAACUCAGACAAGUUGUGUUUGCUAUGAAUCCAUAUUCAGCAGCAGGCCCUGAUGG
rnacentral:lncRNA from 1 species